rnacentral:rRNA from 1 species
UCGGGAAUUUUGGGCAAUGGGCGAAAGCCUGACCCAGCAACGCCGCGUGAAGGAUGAAGUAUUUCGGUAUGUAAACUUCGUAAGAAUAGGAAGAAUAAAUGACGGUACUAUUUGUAAGGUCCGGCUAACUACGUGCCAGCAGCCGCGGUAAUACGUAGGGACCAAGCGUUGUUCGGAUUUACUGGGCGUAAAGGGCGCGUAGGCGGCGUGACAAGUCACUUGUGAAAUCUCCGGGCUUAACUCGGAACUGCCAAGUGAUACUGUCGUGCUAGAGUGCAGAAGGGGCAAUCGGAAUUCUUGGUGUAGCGGUGAAAUGCGUAGAUAUCAAGAGGAACACCUGAGGUGAAGACGGGUUGCUGGGCUGACACUGACGCUGAGGCGCGAAAGCUAGGGGAGCAAACGGGAUUAGAUACCCCCGUAGUCCCUGAGCGGGCUGGCAAGGCGCAU